GGGGUUCACCGCAACCGCCGCUCGGCUGAUAACUCCUAUCAGAA
rfam:Syntrophobacterales bacterium GWC2_56_13 gwc2_scaffold_5779, whole genome shotgun sequence.